rnacentral:rRNA from 1 species
UUUAGCCUACGGGAGGCAGCAGUGGGGAAUAUUGGACAAUGGGGGAAACCCUGAUCCAGCGACGCCGCGUGAGUGAAGAAGUAUUUCAGUAUGUAAAGCUCUAUCAGCAGGGAAGAAAAUGACGGUACCUGACUAAGAAGCCCCGGCUAACUACGUGCCAGCAGCCGCGGUAAUACGUAGGGGGCAAGCGUUAUCCGGAUUUACUGGGUGUAAAGGGAGCGUAGACGGUGCAGCAAGUCUGAUGUGAAAGGGCGGGGCCCAACCCCGGGACUGCAUUGGAAACUGUUGAACUGGAGAACAGGAGG